GAUGAACGCUGGCGGCGUGCCUAACACAUGCAAGUCGAGCGAACAGGCGAGGCGUUUUCUCUUCUGACGUUAGCGGCGGACGGGUGAGUAACACGUGGUCAACCUCCCCAUACGACUGGGAUUACUCCGGCAAACCGGAGCCAAUACCGGGGAAUUUAUUGAACCGCAUGGUUCAAUAGUGAAAGACGGUUUUGCUGUCACUUAUAGAUGGAUCCGCGCCGCAUUAGCUAGUUGGUAAGGUAACGGCUUACCAAGGCAACGAUGCGUAGCCGACCUGAGAGGGUGAUCGGCCACACCGGAACUGAGACGCGGUGCAGACUCCUGCGGGAGGCAGCAGUAGGGAAUCGUCGGCAAUGGGCGGAAGCCUGACGGAGCGCCGCCGCGUGGGUGGUGAAGGUCUUCGGGUCGUAAAACUGUGUUAUUAGGGAAGAAGAGAUGUGUAAGUGACUAUGGACGUCGUGACGGUACCUAAUCAGGAAGCUACGGCUAACUACGUG
rnacentral:rRNA from 1 species